rnacentral:rRNA from 1 species
AGCGAACGCUGGCGGCAGGCCUAACACAUGCAAGUCGAACGCACCUUCGGGUGAGUGGCGGACGGGUGAGUAACACGUGGGAACGUACCUUUUGGUUCGGAAUAACGCAGGGAAACUUGUGCUAAUACCGAAUGUGCCCUUCGGGGGAAAGAUUUACCGCCAUUAGAGCGGCCCGCGUUAGAUUAGCUAGUUGGUGAGGU